CCCAUGUGUGGAUAGAGCAAGCAAGAAGCUGUCUCCUACCAUAAAGAAGUGUGCAGUUGGUCCAGAAGGGGUUACAUUAUUCCUUGAAGAAUCAAGAUAUUGAUGUUUUUUGUGGGCAUUGGAAUAAAGCAACCCCAAACCUUCACAAUAAUUGUUGUGGUCAUCCAGCAUUGGAUCUCCCAAAGCUAUCCUCUCCACACCCACCUCAUCUCCACCGCAAGGCACCGCCACCUCCUCCUCCUCCUUUGUCAAAAGAGACUGGGAGCUGGCCGCCACCAGGUGGUGCCAAAUUCCUUGUGCUUAGAUUCCCCCCUCUCUCUCAUGGUGUGGAUUGGGAGGUGGAUGUGAGUCACCAUGACACAACUUGAAUGAGACAUUAUAUUAGGAGAAUUUGUUGUAAUUUAAUUAAUGACCAAGAUAUGUAUUAAACUGAUGAUAUUCUCUAUGACUAUCUAAAUCUAAGAAAUCUUCCUUACUCCGAUCUUUGAAAUCUCAGCACAAUAACUAUCUUUUCUUUUCAUUCUGAUUCUAAUGUAUCUUGUUGAUCCCCUUCUAUUUCUUGUAAGUUCUUCAGUUUGAUUCAUCUUUGGUAUUCAGCUCAGAAGAAUACAGUUUAGGUGUUAUAGAAGCUUACAAUAUGCUUCUAUUUAGCAGUUAAUAUUGUCUUGAGGAAUACUUAUUAUUUGAUAUCAAAUUGAUGAGGAAUUUAUGAACUUCCCUUUUAUUUUUAAUCAAUUAUUGACUUUUUUAUUUCUCUUUUUUCCCCUCUAAUUUAUGAUCACAAGGAUGAGUGCUCACCAUUUCUAGAGAGAUAAGCAUCAAAGUCACACAGCAUUACAUUCCGAAGAUAUAAAUUACUGUCACUGUGAUGGCAUGUCUCCAAGAGCCAAGAGAAGCCCUGUCACACAGGAGCUUGGAAGAUGGCCUCCGAUGGUGCCGUGGCGGUCUCCAGCCCCGAGGGCGAAGGCAACAAGAAGGAGAAGGCUCCCAAGUCUCUGGCUUCGCCGAGGAGUAGCAGUGGCAUCGGCGGCGGUGGCGGUGGCCUCUGUCUGUGCUCGCCUACCACCCACCAAGGCUCCUUCCGCUGCCGGUUCCACCGCUCUCUCUCCACCUCGUGGAUGCGGCGCUCCAAGUCCAUGCCUUCUUCCACCUCCACCUCCAACUCCUCCUCCUCCUCCCCUCCUCCUCCCCUCUUUCCCAAUCCCUUGGAGGCUACUCAGAACUAGGAUGGACCACAGCUGCGUCAUCUCUCCAUUCUGUUGCUUUCAAUACCAGACUUUGAACUGUAGAUAUAUAUAUAGAGCGAGCGAGCGAGCGAGAGAGAGAGAGAGAGAGAGAGAGAGAGAGAGAGAGAGAGAGAGAGAGAGAGAGAGAGUCUUAUAGUUGGAUUUUACUGUACAACGUUCUGCUGCAAGGAGAGAGACUAAUCCAGUUUAUGCAUGAACCUGCACUGUCGAUGCUUUCGACUGCUGUAAUUUCCAUGGUUUAUGAUUCCCUCUUAUCAGUCCAGAAGUCGAUCAUCGAUCCUAAAUCAGGAGACAAAUUGCGAAUCUUGACACUUGUGAGGAGAGAUUACCAUAUCGAAAGUCCUCGAUCAUGUUGGAUCUCUGUGCUUCCUCCUGCAAGAAAACAUUUAGAUUUGUUGUGGGUUGAUGAUUAAGUGACAGGGGAUUAAUUUUCCUACCAAAUUUCGCUCUUAAUGUUUCCAAAUUCCAUAUUCAAUUAGCUUCUUAGAAAUUAAAUUAUCCCAAUUUAAUUACGUGCCUGCAUUUGUUUUUUUAUUAAUAAGUGUUCUAAUCCUACUUAAAUGGAUUAAGUAUUCAUUGGUAUCUGAAAAAUCCGAUCCGCUAUCGCCGUAUUCGUCGCUCGCUGCCUUUGUGAUGAUUGGAACAAGUGGUGGAUGGAGCCCAUUGCGUAUCCAAAGGCCAUAUUAAUCACACAUGAUUGGCCACGGCCCACGAUUCCCUGGAUUAAUUGACUACCUACCCUUUUGAUGAUUGGUCGACCAAGUGGAGCCCAUUGCGGAGCCACAGGUGGGUCGAGUUCGGAGGUUCCCCCUAAUUAAUCACAAAUGAGAGAACUCCAUCGCGAUUCUGUAUAUUAGAUCGUACAGCUACCCUUGCGAUGAUUGGAAGACCAGGUGGAGCCCAUUUGGCUAGAUAACGUGGGUAAUUGGAGGCAAGAGUUAGGUAGUGUCGAGCAAGAAGGCGGAGAUCCGCCUGUUGGGCUCUAUGGGCUACAGGGCCUCCGCCGCCGCCCUGUCCGAGCCCUUCUUGGCCUUGGUCUCUCGUUGCCUUCUUCGUCUUUCUUGUGCUGGCUGGUCUCCUCUCCCUCCUCUCCGUUUGGAGUCGCCUGGUGAGCGCCUCCUCUACCUUUCUUGAUAUGUCUUGUGGUUCUUGAAUCGAGGAUCUUCGAAGUUCGCCUUCCCUAUGCCGGCUGGCCUCAUCUCCCUCCCCUCGCUUUGGAAUCGCCUGGUGAGCUCCUAAUCUACCUUCAUCGAUACGUCUUGCGGUUCUUGAAUCGAGGAUCUUUGGAGUCACCUGGUGAGCACCUCCUCUACCUUUCUUGAUACACCUUGUAGUUCUCGAGUCGAGAAUCUCUGCUGUCUGGCUGGCCUCCUCUCCCUUGGAGUAGGCUGGUAUAUGUCUUGUAGUUCUUGAAUCGAGGAUCCUGGAGUUGCCUGAUGAUCUCCUCCUUCUCUGCCUUUUCUGCUAUGCUUGAUCUGUCUCCUGGUUCUUGAAUUGGGUGUGUUUUCGAUCCUUUUCGAUGAUAAAGAAGUGAUCUUUGGUCUAACAAUGGCUAGUUGCGCACCAUUGCCUUUAUCUUUGGAAUUCAGUUGCCAUUGUUUAGCAUUUUGGUUGCUGGAGUUCAUGGAAGGGACGAUCAUUGAGAUAUUUGCCAUUUCCAAUAUCUUGCAGGCCCACAUGUUGAUACAAAUUAAGUUUAGGAAGAAAGAGAUGCUCACAUGUCGAACAUUAGGCAAGACAGUAGGUUGCAUCAAUUAUUUUUUCUCCUGUUUUACUGUUGGGAAGCAAUUUACUGUAUGUAUAUUACAUGCUUGACUCCAUAACAGUGUCCAAUUUUGCAAACCCCAAUGACUGCUUGAUCUAAAAUGUUUUCUGCUGAAAUUUAUUUAGACAAUAGCUUCUUGAUUCUGAUAAUGUAGCACCUCAAUUCAACAACUGAGCUUGGCAAAAUAUGGUUGCUUGAUCUUCGGUGAAAUUCCAUCGACUAUAAUAUUGAAUAUCGAAAUGUUAUAGAAGUUGUGUAUUCAAGUUUUUGGAGAAAGGUCCACCCAAUAACACUUUCAUGUUAAGUUAGAUUCCUGAAACAUAUGGUUUGUGUUUUACGGUCUGAUCGAGUUCGAUCAACUCCAGCUUAUUUCAACCGAUUCUAUUUAAUAGGGCUGAGAAAUCGACCAUAGAUGGGACCAGUGUGAAGUGAAGAAAUUGUAGUAGAAUAAUAAAAUUCAUGAUUAUGCUAUUGUUAUGCGAAAAACUUUAAUGUUACAAACUGAAAUCAAAUAACGAUAAAUCAAAUAUACGAUGCAUACCUUUCGAUGUCAUUCAAAAUGCCUUUAUAUGAUCUAUAGACAUCAUCAUCGGAUUUGAAAGCUACAGCAAUGUCGAUUUGUAAGGAAGAUUAGAUUCGUCUUUUUCUCCCUUUGUAUCUUUCAUGGGAUCGCUAUGAGCGAUGGUUUCAGGACUAAGACGGAUGGAGAAUAUAUUUGUAAUCUCAGAUGUUUCGUCCCUAGGAGGUUCUCUUCUUUUAUAGAUGAAAAGCAGAGGAUCUAGAAUGAUAAUUAGGCGAGUCCCUCCUAUCGAGAUCAUCUCGUAAGAAAUUAUAUUUUAAUUAGAUUUUUUUAUUGGUCUAUAAUCAUAGUCAUAAUCUAAUCAGGCAUAUAGUAUAUCUUAAUUAGAUAGGACCAUAUGAUCUAAUAAGUAUUAGUUGCCUUGUUUCCGGUGAAGAUCUAGCUGAUCCAUGUAGGAUCUAAAGCAUAUUUCUCUUGGCAAGUGCUGUGCAUCCUGCUUCUAUCCCGGUGAACUUCAUUCUUUACCUGUUUGUCUUGCAGGUUAGCACAGAGAGGAACCAGCAAGCAAUUAAGAAGAAAUAGACCAUGUCAAGAAGCAUGUGACGAGCUUCGCUGCCCUAGAUUUCCUAGUAUGCUUGCGGUUGGAUGUGUUUGUGAUGACCAGCCGUGGUGGCAAUUUCGCCAAGCUGGAUGAUAGGAGAUCAUUGAUUGCUGCAUGGGCCACCGAUUGAAGUCGAUAAAGCCCCCAAAUCCUUGGGGGAGGAUGUUGUGAUAACCCACCAUAUGCGGACUGGCCUUCCUGGAAAAACCUUCCCCAACUAUGACCAAUGGGAGAAUCUGCUAACUACGUUCAUGCGUAGAGCUGGGCUGCUGCUUCUUGUAUCGUCCGUUGUCCAUUUUCCCAUUUGGUCAAUCUGUUUUUUUUGUCCUUGCAUAGUCUUUGUUUCGUCUGUGAUUUAUAACUAAAUUUAGGCCUUGAACUCCGUUGUCUCGGAGAGAAAAGAUAGACAUGUGGUAGUGGUAAAGAUUGCGCAAACUUUGUUCUAACAGUGGAAUUUGUUGUUCA